GCAGCAGCAGCAGGAACAGCAGCAGAAGGUGGAGGCUGAAGAGAGGCCAGGGAGCCAUCACAGGAGCCUGGAGGAAGUCAGUCAGCGUGAGCCCUGAUGGGAGAAUGCUGAAGGAUCCAACUGUGUAGCUCAAGCUAGUCUCAAAACUUAUGAUCCUUGAUUCUCCUGACUACCUCUUGAAUGCUGGAAUUACAGGGCCUCCAUCAGAUGUUCCUUAUUCUGAAGCGUGAUUCAAGUGGACACGAUGGCCUGGACAAUGAGAACCCUGGCCGUGGUAACCUGAGGCACCACAAAUACCUGUCUGGAGCCUAGACUGAGGACAACAUUGAGAUCAGAUGCCCUGCCUGCAGGGCUUCAACGGGUUCUCCACCACCCUAAGGACGGAAUGAUAGGGACAGGAGAUACAAAGAAAUACACCAAGUCUAGAUUCUGA